rnacentral:tRNA from 1 species
AGUUCAGUUUGUUAGUAAGCGAAGCGCGUCGAAGACACGCCUGAUUGUGGUUCAGGAGGUCGCCGGUUCGAAUCCGGUCU